GAUGAACGCUGGCGGCGCGCCUAACGCAUGCAAGUCGAACGAUUAAAGCACCUUCGGGUGUGUAUAAAGUGGCGAACGGCUGAGUAACACGUGGGCAACCUGCCCCUCUCAUUGGGAUAGCCACGGGAAACCGUGGAUAAUACCGAAUACUUCGAGACUUCCGCAUGGAAGACUCGAGAAAGCUCCGGCGGAGAGGGAUGGGCCCGCGGCCUGUUAGCUUGUUGGUGGGGUAACGGCCUACCAAGGCAAUGAUGGGUAGCUGGGUUGAGAGACCGACCAGCCAGAUUGGGACUGAGACACGGCCCAGACUCCUACGGGAGGCAGCAGUGGGGAAUCUUGCACAAUGGGCGAAAGCCUGAUGCAGCGACGCCGCGUGCGGGAUGAAGGCCUUCGGGUUGUAAACCGCUUUCAGCAGGGACGAGGCGAAAGUGACGGUACCUGCAGAAGAAGCCCCGGCUAACUACGUGCCAGCAGCCGCGGUAAUACGUAGGGGGCAAGCGUUAUCCGGAUUCAUUGGGCGUAAAGCGCUCGUAGGCGGUCUGUUAGGUCGGGAGUUAAAUCCGGGGGCUCAACCCCCGUUCGCUCCCGAUACCGGCAGACUUGAGUUUGGUAGGGGAAGGUGGAAUUCCUAGUGUAGCGGUGGAAUGCGCAGAUAUUAGGAAGAACACCAGUGGCGAAGGCGGCCUUCUGGGCCAUAACUGACGCUGAGGAGCGAAAGCUAGGGGAGCAAACAGG
rnacentral:rRNA from 1 species